CAGCAGCCACGGUAAUACAGAGGGUGCGAGCGUUAAUCGGAUUUACUGGGCGUAAAGCGUGCGUAGGCGGCUAAUUGAGUCGGAUGUGAAAUCCCUGAGCUUAACUUAGGAAUUGCAUUCGAUACUGGGAAGCUAGAGUAUGGGAGAGGAUGGUAGAAUUCCAGGUGUAGCGGUGAAAUGCGUAGAGAUCUGGAGGAAUACCGAUGGCGAAGGCAGCCAUCUGGCCUAAUACUGACGCUGAGGUACGAAAGCAUGGGGAGCAAACAGGAUUAGAUACCCCUGUAGUCCCUGUCUCUUAUAC
rnacentral:rRNA from 1 species